rnacentral:lncRNA from 1 species
UAGGCUAAUUAGCACCUUUUAGGGUGGCCCCACCGAGGGCAAAAUUGUGAAAGAGCAAUGUUCGAAAGCAUCAUCCAAGCUUACUCAUGCCGCCAUCAGCUGAGCUCUUCCUCUAUAUAUAGAAAGCUCUUCCAUCGCGCACUCAACCCACAUCGACAUAGAACGAACGAACUCGAGUCGAGUAGGAGGAAGAAAAAAAAAAGAGAGAUCAAAGAAUCGACAGGUCUCAGCCGGCGGCGACCAUGGAAAGCAUCACCGGAGGAGCGGGGGCNN